UGGGGGAUAACGUUCGGAAACGGACGCUAAUACCGCAUACGUCCUACGGGAGAAAGCAGGGGACCUUCGGGCCUUGCGCUAUCAGAUGAGCCUAGGUCGGAUUAGCUAGUUGGUGGGGUAAUGGCUCACCAAGGCGACGAUCCGUAACUGGUCUGAGAGGAUGAUCAGUCACACUGGAACUGAGACACGGUCCAGACUCCUACGGGAGGCAGCAGUGGGGAAUAUUGGACAAUGGGCGAAAGCCUGAUCCAGCCAUGCCGCGUGUGUGAAGAAGGUCUUCGGAUUGUAAAGCACUUUAAGUUGGGAGGAAGGGCAGUUGCCUAAUACGUAACUGUUUUGACGUUACCGACAGAAUAAGCACCGGCUAACUCUGUGCCAGCAGCCGCGGUAAUACAGAGGGUGCAAGCGUUAAUCGGAAUUACUGGGCGUAAAGCGCGCGUAGGUGGUUUGUUAAGUUGGAUGUGAAAUCCCCGGGCUCAACCUGGGAACUGCAUUCAAAACUGACUGACUAGAGUAUGGUAGAGGGUGGUGGAAUUUCCUGUGUAGCGGUGAAAUGCGUA
rnacentral:rRNA from 3 species